AGCGAACGCUGGCGGCAUGCUUAACACAUGCAAGUCGAACGGGCAUCUUCGGAUGUCAGUGGCAGACGGGUGAGUAACACGUUGGAACGUACCCUUCGGUUCGGAAUAACUCAGGGAAACUUGAGCUAAUACCGGAUACGCCCUUUUGGUGAAAGGUUUACUGCCGAAGGAUCGGCCCGCGUCUGAUUAGCUUGUUGGUGGGGUAACGGCCUACCAAGGCGACGAUCAGUAGCUGGUCUGAGAGGAUGAUUAGCCACACUGGGACUGAGACACGGACCAGACUCCUACGGGAGGCAGCAGUGGGGAAUAUUGGACAAUGGGCGCAAGCCUGAUCCAGCCAUGCCGCGUGAGUGAUGAAGGCCUUAGGGUUGUAAAGCUCUUUUGUACGGGACGAUAAUGACGGUACCGGAAGAAUAAGCACCGGCUAACUUCGUG
rnacentral:rRNA from 1 species